GCAAAACGCGAAGAACCUUACCCACCUUUGACAUGUACGGAAUCCUUUAGAGAUAGAGGAGUGCUCGAAAGAGAGCCGUAACACAGGUGCUGCAUGGCUGUCGUCAGCUCGUGUCGUGAGAUGUUGGGUUAAGUCCCGCAACGAGCGCAACCCUUGCCAUUAGUUGCUACGAAAGGGCACUCUAAUGGGACUGCCGGUGACAAACCGGAGGAAGGUGGGGAUGACGUCAAGUCCUCAUGGCCCUUAUAGGUGGGGCUACGCACGUCAUACAAUGGCUGGUACAAAGGGUUGCCAACCCGCGAGGGGGAGCUAAUCCCAUAAAGCCAGUCGUAGUCCGGAUCGCAGUCUGCAACUCGACUGCGUGAAGUCGGAAUCGCUAGUAAUCGUGGAUCAGAAUGUCACGGUGAAUACGUUCCCGGGUCUUGUACACACCG
rnacentral:rRNA from 1 species